rnacentral:rRNA from 1 species
AUUGAACGCUGGCGGAAUGCUUUACACAUGCAAGUCGAACGGCAGCACGGGGGCAACCCUGGUGGCGAGUGGCGAACGGGUGAGUAAUACAUCGGAACGUGCCCAGUCGUGGGGGAUAACGUAGCGAAAGCUACGCUAAUACCGCAUACGAUCUCUGGAUGAAAGCGGGGGACCGCAAGCCGUCGCGCGAUUGGAGCGGCCGAUGGCAGAUUAGGUAGUUGGUGGGGAAGGACUCACCAAGCCGACGAUCUGUAGCUGGUCUGAGAGGAC